rnacentral:rRNA from 1 species
UCCGGCAGCCAGCUCUCUGGAGCUCUCACAUGGUUUCCCACUGAAGCUAAGCACGGCUGCACCCGGUCAGUACCUGGAUGAGAGACCACAUGGGAAAGGGGGAUUGUUGCCGGAA